rnacentral:misc_RNA from 1 species
AUGUAACCGGACCGGUCCUCUGCCGUCAAACGCAGCGGAUGGGAAUGGGAGAUAUCAUACACCCGAUGUUUAUUUACUUUUGUUGCUUUGGCGGGCCGUCCUCUUAGGCGUCGGCCCCGGCUGAUCGCGCCCGCCAGAGGACCCAAACUCUUUUAUCAGUGAUGUCUGAGUACUAUAUAAUAGUUA